rnacentral:rRNA from 1 species
GAUGAACGCUGGCGGCGUGCCUAAUACAUGCAAGUCGAGCGAACGGACGAGAAGCUUGCUUCUCUGAUGUUAGCGGCGGACGGGUGAGUAACACGUGGAUAACCUACCUAUAAGACUGGGAUAACUUCGGGAAACCGUAGCUAAUACCGGAUGAUAUUUUGAACCGCAUGGUUCAAAAGUGAAAGACGGUCUUGCUGUCACUUAUAGAUGGAUCCGCGCUGCAUUAGCUAGUUGGUAAGGUAACGGCUUACCAAGGCAACGAUGCAUAGCCGACCUGAGAGGGUGAUCGGCCACACUGGAACUGAGACACGGUCCAGACUCCUACGGGAGGCAGCAGUAGGGAAUCUUCCGCAAUGGGCGAAAGCCUGACGGAGCAACGCCGCGUGAGUGAUGAAGGUCUUCGGAUCGUAAAACUCUGUUAUUAGGGAAGAACAUAUGUGUAAGUAACUGUGCACAUCUUGACGGUACCUAAUCAGAAAGCCACGGCUAGCUACGUG